rnacentral:rRNA from 1 species
GACGAACGCUGGCGGCGUGCUUAACACAUGCAAGUCGAACGGAAAGGCCCUGCUUUUGUUGGUUGCUCGAUUGGCGAACGGUUGAUUAACACGUUUGUAACCUGCCCUUGACUUUGUGAUAACUUCAUGAAACUGGGGCUAAUACCCGAUAGGAUCUCCUGCUGCAUGGUGUUGGUUGGAAAGUUUCGGCGGUUGGGGAUGUACUCGCGGCUUUUCAGCUUGUUGGUCGGGUAGUGGCUUACCAAGGGUUUGACGGGUAGGCGGCCUGUGAGGGUGACCGGGGAAAAUGGGACUGAGAUACGGACCAGAAUACAAAGGGAGGCAGGAGUGGGGAAGAUUGCAGAAUGGGGGGAAGGGAGAUGAAGAAAAGCGGGGAGGGGGAUGACGGGCUUGGGGGUGAAAACAGAUGAGGAAUGUGAAGAAGAGUGAGUGACGGUAAUGGGUAAAGAAGCAACGGCUAAAUACGUG